CUCUUACUCCUAAUAUUGCUUGAGCUCAUGAGUUUUAGGUUUUCAAUCAGUUCAUUCAUUGUGAGCAUAUCUAGCUCACGGGUUUCUAAUAUAGCCUUCAUUUUGAUUUCUCAUGCCUCUGGUAGCACUCUGAGUAGUUUUUGAAUAGAUUUUCUUGUGGGUAUAGUUUCACCAUGGGAAUUUAUUUCAUUUAUAAUUGAAGAAAAUCAGAUGUGCAUAUCUUGUAUGGAUUCUCCAUCUUUCAUCCAAAAGAGUUCAUAUUGUCUGUUCACCAUCUUUAUUUUUGAUUUCUUAACUUGAUUUGUUCCUUCAUGGGUUGUCCGUAGUACAUCCCAAAUUUCUUGUCACCCAUGCAAAAACUAUUGUAUUCGUGUGGUUCAAUACCACACAUAAGUAUUGUUAUUUCCUUAGAGUUUCUUUCAACAUCCAACGUAUCCUUUGCAUUGUAUUCAAGUAUGCCUUUAGUAACUUGUGCCUUUCCAUCAUCAUGUCUUCAUUAGAAUGACAGGUCCAUUGAGCACAACAUUCCACGGGUUGUGGUCUUCUCCGAUCAAGUAAUCUUGCAUUCUCUUCUUCUACCACUCAAUAGUAUUUCCCAUUAAAAAGUGAUGGUCGGGUAAUGGACUGUCCUUCUUGUGUAGUUGAUGGUUCUUUCAUUUAAGAUCUUUUGAAGGUAUUAUUCUUAUAUUGAAAAGCCUGCUUUGAUUACAAUAGAAAAUAAUUCAGCACCUUUUAACCAAAGUAACAACCUUAAUUUCUCUAAGGAUUUUACUCACUCUGUAGAACAUCCCAAAUUUCUUUUUCACUCGUGCAAUGAGGCAUCUAUGCUCCUUAUCUUCACAUGCCUUCAACCAUCUUAGUCUCGCUUCCCUCAUCUUGUGCACCAUAGAGGGCACUCCCACAUUUCCCUAUAUAUCUUCAUUCCUGAUUUUGUUUCUCUUAAUAUGGCCACACAUCCAUCUAAGCAUUUUCAUUUCUGCCUACUUUCAUCUUUUGAACGUGAGAACGUUAUCAAAAUUCAAAAAAGAAAAAAAAAAGAGAAUUUUAAGCAAAUACUUUUACAACUGAAAGGUUUCUAUAUCAAUUAAACAUUUCCACAGUAGAUAUGACAAAAUAUCUUCUGUCUUUCCCAAUUUACUCUGGUAUGAUUAUGCUGUUUCAUUUCUUAAAUUUUUUCUUUAGGGAGGAUUAGCUCAAUAUCUCCUAGUUAAGAAGGUAACUCGGAUCUUUGAGAGCUGUUGUAAGAAAUGAUAGACACCAAUUUCUGCUAUUAAAUAGAAAGUUGCCUCGUUGAAGCGAGAUUAUUCAUCCAUACAUCAUUCCAUAUGUAAAAUUUACAUAGGAAGUUGGUAAUUUAAACAUCCAAACUUUCUACAUAAAUACGUUGUUAUUUAAGAUACUCCAAACUUGAUUCUCACAAGCAGCAACUUAUGCUACCCACUCAAUCACACCAAUGGUUGGAGAGUGCUCACCUCAAAGUCAGUUAAUUAAGCUCUUCAGUUUGUUCUGUUUACAACAUCCGUUCUCUGAAAAUUUGAACCUUUUUAGUAGACUUGAUUUGUUGUUAGGUGAGAAAAAGAUUGUCUUUCAACCUUCAGCAAAGAGGUGAUAGAAACAAAUUUGGGUUUAAUAGAAUCUUCAACUCUUACCUUUUGACUAAGUAUUCUCUAAAUUAUCCUAGUAACUCUCUUGCCCAUCAACAUCACUUCAUACAACACGCUGUUGUUGCCAUUAGACAAGUCUCUGAAAAGUAUGAAUCAGCUGGUCGAUGCAUAGGAUAUUGUAGGUCAUUUGAUCCCCUUAAAUAUCUAACUCUCUAGUUUGGUCUUCUUGGAAAUUUCUAGAAUACAAUCAAGUUGGGUGCAAAAUUAGCAUAAUCAAAACAAAAGUUGGGUGGAAAAUUAGUUUGCUUUUAGAUAUUAUGUCCCUUUACGAGCUACAUGGUAUCCACUUAUAGAAGCUUGAAAUUACAAAUCCAGGUACAUCUAAACAUUAAAUUCUAUGAUUACACAGUUUUCCAUAGGGGUAAGGUCUGCGUAUACCCCACCUUCACCCUCCCCAGACCCCACUUGUGGGGGCACACUGCACUGGGUAUGUUGUUAUUGUUGAUUACACAGUUUUCCGUCUUUACUAAAUCAUGCCCAGUCCAUUUAGAAACCCCCAAAAGGAGAGAACCAAGUUGUUACAGAUUAAAGAGCAGUGAGACCAGUAUGAAGGACUUUAUUUAUUUUACCAAUGUAGAAAGACUUCCUUUUACCUAUAUUCCACUUGCGACUUAUCGUCUCAUAUAAUGAAGAUAGCUGAUGGUUAGUAAGUAAAGGACUAAAAGUCAGGCGUUAGGUCCAAUCCUUGCUUUCUGUUGCAUUCUUCCUUGACAUAGUUUUGUAACUUUUGAUAUUUUAAUCUUCUGAAGAAAUGCAGUUAUUAAAGAAAAAUGAAAUCCUAAUCUGAAGAGGGUGAACUCUUUUUGGAAUGGCACUUGUGGAUCGCCUAAUUGACACAGAUUUUGUUUUGUAAAAAUUUAUGUGGAUCAUUUUGUCAAUGAUGGUUGAACGUUACUUGUAUAGAUACAUACACUAACUCAGAGUGCAGUACAAUGAGGAAGAUUUGCAAGAUAUAUUGGGCGCUAGUAAGUGGUGUGAUGGAUAUGGAUGAGUUAAUAUCAUUAUUCUCCCUCUUUUGUCCUGCUAUGCAUGUUCUCACCUCAGUUUUCUGUUGGAGUGUCUAUUCUACAGUAGUCAAUCCAUCAGGUUACUGGAAUUUAAAAGUAAUUUUGGCUGAUAGGUUGUCAUCAAGCAACCAAUUGGUACAAUUAAAUAUCCUGGAGUUGCUAAGGGUUGUAUGUUGCUUCUCCUUCAGGUUUUCAAAUUUAUUUAUUUUAGGCGAACAUUUCCUUGAUCAUCUUUUUAUAAAAGUUGUUAUCAUUCAUGUGGUGCUUCAGAGGACACUAGUGUUGGCUUAAUCGUUUUUUCAAGGUAAGCCAGCUCUGAGCAAUGUUCGCGUUCUUGAAAGGGAUUUGGAGAAUAACUGCACAUUGGUUCAGGUUGAAAUUCAAUAUGGAAGACCACAUCAAAUCUGCAUCCACCUCUCUUUCAUUGGAUUUCCAUUAAUUGUGGCUAUCAAAGACCUGAGAAUCCUGCUCCUGGAGACUCUGGAUAUAACCUGCAUGCACAUCAAAUAGUUAUUAUUCACCCAAUCACAAAUAAGGUAGCAGCACUGACAGUGUGAUGUUUAAGGCUGGAUGGGUCUCAACUCCACAAACCUUAAGCAUGUACUCAUCAAUUUCCUAUGGUCUAACUAUGGAACUAGAUUGAUUGAAUGUUCCCAAGCUUUCGAUGCUUCAGAUCUGGUCAGUUUUGGCUAAUAUACAAAGAGGAUCAUGUUUGAAAAUUGAAUUGUUUUCUUGAACAUUUAAACAAGGCUACCUUUCUAGAUAUCUCGAUUCAAAGUAAACUUGUUGACAGUACUUCA